rnacentral:rRNA from 1 species
UACGUAGGGCGCAAGCGUUAUCCGGAAUUACUGGGCGUAAAGAGCUCGUAGGUGGUUUGUCGCGUUGUCCGUGAAAACUCACAACUCAAUUGUGGGCGUGCGGGCGAUACGGGCAGACUGGAGUACUGCAGGGGAGACUGGAAUUCCUGGUGUAGCGGUGGAAUGCGCAGAUAUCAGGAGGAACACCGGUGGCGAAGGCGGGUCUCUGGGCAGUAACUGACGCUGAGACACGAAAGCGUGGGUAGCAAACAGG